UACGGAGGGUGCAAGCGUUGUCCGGAUUUAUUGGGUUUAAAGGGUGCGUAGGCGGCAGAUUAAGUCAGCGGUGAAAUUCCACAGCUCAACUGUGGAACUGCCAUUGAUACUGGUUUGCUUGAGUACAGAUGAGGUAGGCGGAAUUGACAGUGUAGCGGAUGAAAUGCUUAGAUAUUGUCAAGAACACCUAUUGCGAAGGCA
rnacentral:rRNA from 1 species